rnacentral:tRNA from 2 species
ACUUAUUUAAUAUAAUUAGUAUCCUUGACUUCCAAUCAAAAAGUCUGAAUAUAAUUCAGAAUAAGUA